rnacentral:lncRNA from 1 species
CUCAUAUAAGAAGAUCAUAUCGAAGGGAAAAGGUCGUGGCAGUAGUCAGGUGCAGUGGGCAAUGACAGUAUUAUACACACAAUGAUGUAAAAAGGUGCCAAGAGAGCUAAUAAAAUUAUAACUUAGAGGUACAAAUCAAAUUAAAGUUUGGUAAAAAAAAAGAUCCAUCCAUAUCACUUAUGUCGACACACAGUUCCUCUCUCUGUUUGCGCUUGGUCUUUAGCUUCUGAAAGCUUUGCUUUCUGUUGGAUACUGCAGAAGAUCCAUUUGUGCUAAUCAAUAGCAACUUUCUUUCAGCAUGUAGGCUAUAUAGCUAGGUAGCCACUUCCAGGCAACCAAAGAGAGAGCAUGUCUCUCCAUAUGUUUAUCUCCUCUCACAUAUCUUUUCUCUCAAGUUGGACCCAAGCAUCAUGAUUCGUCAUCGGCAAAGACACUUUCUUUCUAGCUCAUCACUCAACAAAGUCUAAUGAUGUAAGCACACAUUUAGCCUUGAGAUUAAAAAGCUACCGUGCCUAAUGGCUAGCCAAAUUCAUACGCAUUGCAAGGUAAUAUAGGCUGCUGUUGACCACCAACGGCGACUGCCACUGACAUAGGUCAUGCAUGGUGCAUAUAUGCCUAUAUAUGAUGACUACUAGAAUCUUCAGCAUACAGUAAAAAGAAAGAAAAAGGCAAAAUCUUCAGUAAAUCUAUAGUGGCGCACCGACGUACUCGUGGUUGUUGGGAGCUUUAUUUGCGCGUGAAAAAGGCUCUGGAUAACGUAGGCGUUUAUGCACAGAAGAGGGUGGAUUAAAGCGUGUGAUAGUCUAACAGAUGGUAAGAAAACGCAGCAGGCGUCCAAGUGCGUUAGUUGUUGGGUCAGUGAAAAGGUUAAAAGAACGCAUGUAUGCAGGUCAAGAGGCUCCAUCGACCAUCGGUCACGGAGCUUUCAGCCUUUCACUACUCUGAGUGACACCGGCUUGGACUCAUAUGAUCUUAUCUCUUGCUACCAUCACGUACCUUUCUUCCUUGCUUGCCACGUAGGUUCAUGUACUUGUUACUGGAUAUGCAUGAUACCUAUGGCUAACUAACUCUGUAUGUAGGUUAAUUAUUAUGUGCUCUUAAUUUGUUUUAGUUGGUUCUUAGUCUUGUCAAGUUACUAUCUUUCACAGUACAAAACAAAUACUUUAUUUCUUAGUCUUGGUUCUUAAUCAUAUUUAGUUACACCGUCGUGUUACUUUCAGAUUGACAAGGAAUCAUAUGAUGAGGAAGGAUACAAUUUUUUUUAUGAAUGGAAGUGAAAUAUAAUUUGGCGGAGGAUCCUCCAAAAAAAUAUUUUUUUAAAAAAAAAUAUAUAAGCAAACAAAACGGCUGAAAGAAGAAAUUGGCAUGCGCUCGCGCAGGUGACGGAGUUCACGUGCGGCGGCUUCGUUGUCGGCCUCAUCUCCGUGCACACCAUCGCCGACGGCCUCGGCGCCGGGCAGUUCAUCAACGCGGUGGCGGACUACGCGCGCGGCCUCCCCAAGCCCCGCGUGGCCCCCGUCUGGGCGCGCGACAUCAUCCCGGCGCCGUCGAAGAUUGUGUCGCGGCCGCCGCGCUUCGAGCUCUUCGACCUCCGCUACUUCACCGUGGACCUCGGCCCGGACCACAUCGCCAAGGUCAAGUCCAGCUUCUUCGAGGCGACGGGGCAGCGCUGCUCCGCCUUCGACGUGUGCGUCGCCAAGACGUGGCAGUCCCGCGUCCGCGCGCUCCGGCUCGACGCCGACGACCCGUCCCGCCCAGUCCACGUCUGCUUCUUCGCCAACACCCGCCACCUCCUGCCGCCGGCGCCGGGGUUCUACGGCAACUGCUUCUACACGGUGAAGGCGACGCGUCCCUGCGGCGAGAUCGCCGCCGCCGGCGUGGUGGAGGUGGUGCGCGCGAUCCGGGACGCCAAGGCGCGGCUGGCCGCGGACUUCGCGCGGUGGGCGGGCGGAGGGUUCGAGCGCGACCCCUACGAGCUCACCUUCACCUACGACUCGCUCUUCGUCUCCGACUGGACGCGGCUCGGGUUCCUGGAGGCGGACUACGGGUGGGGCACGCCGGCGCACGUCCUGCCCUUCUCGUACCACCCCUUCAUGGCCGUCGCCGUCAUCGGAGCGCCGCCGGCGCCCAAGCCCGGAGCGCGCGUCAUGACCAUGUGCGUCACGGAGAAGCACCUGCCGGAGUUCCGGGAGCAGAUGAACGCCUUCGCCGCCGGGAACUAAACCAUGCUUACCUAUCGUCGUCGUGUAUCGCCGUUUCCUCAUCAAAGCGUGUCUACGU